CGAACGCUGGCGGCAGGCCUAACACAUGCAAGUCGAGCGCUCUCUUCGGAGGGAGCGGCGGACGGGUGAGUAACGCGUGGGAAUAUACCCUUCUCUAAGGAAUAGCCACUGGAAACGGUGAGUAAUACCUUAUACGCCCUUCGGGGGAAAGAUUUAUCGGAGAAGGAUUAGCCCGCGUUAGAUUAGAUAGUUGGUGGGGUAAUGGCCUACCAAGUCUACGAUCUAUAGCUGGUUUUAGAGGACGAUCAGCCACACUGGGACUGAGACACGGCCCAGACUCCUACGGGAGGCAGCAGUGGGGAAUCUUAGACAAUGGGCGAAAGCCUGAUCUAGCCAUGCCGCGUGAGUGAUGAAGGCCUUAGGGUCGUAAAGCUCUUUCGCCAGGGAUGAUAAUGACAGUACCUGGUAAAGAAACCCCGGCUAACUCC
rnacentral:rRNA from 1 species